rnacentral:lncRNA from 1 species
AUGUACUGGGAAGGGGGAAGAUAGAAAAUGUCUCUCUGAAGGCAUCCCCAAAUCCUCUUCUCUUAAAUAAUCCAACUGACAUCUUGGUAACUCUCUUCCAUCUCUGGCACCAUCACCUCCAUCACCUUUCCCAGGGAUCUCCAGAAAAAAGUCCAGAAAGAAGUGCUAACCUUAUAGAACGAUGGUUUGAUGACUGUCAAGAGAGAGUUGGCGUUCUUUGCUGUUAAUACCCAUUGCUUUCUUUUUAAGGAUUCACAAUCUGCGACAUAAAGGAAUAAGAAGCAUGUUGAACUCAAAGAGUUCCAGUUGUUCUGCAGGACUUAUUCUGCUUAUGUGAACAUUGAGUUAAAUGCUGGUUUUCUUGGCAGAAAUACUGAAAUGGUUUGCCGUUUCCUUCUCCAGCUUUACAGAAGAGGAAACUGAGUCUUUACACCAUUUCAAUGUAAAGUGCCAAUUAUCCGGCAGUCUGAUUUCUGGAAACCUUAACCUUCGGAAAAGCAGCUGAGAAGUCAGAGAUAUGAAAAAACCUUGUGUCCAACAAACACAACCGGCAUCAAUUCCAAAGACUUUCCCAUAGAAGGAGAGUGGAGCUACAUUCUCUCCUCAGGAAGACAAUAUUUUGAUUUCCUUUUAUUUGCUUGUCUAUCUACUUUGCACACAGUACGAUUGCAAUAAAUGAUGAAUUGAACUGAAUUAAACUGAUUUU